UACAGAGGUCUCAAGCGUUGUUCGGAUUCAUUGGGCGUAAAGGGUGCGUAGGCGGCGCGGUAAGUCGGGUGUGAAAUCUCGGGGCUUAACUCGGAAACUGCAUUCGAUACUGCCGUGCUUGAGGACUGGAGAGGAGACUGGAAUUUACGGUGUAGCGGUGAAAUGCGUAGAUAUCGUGAGGAAGACCAGUGGCGAAGGCGGGUCUCUGGACAGUUCCUGACGCUGAGGCACGAAGGCCAGGGGAGCAAACGGG
rnacentral:rRNA from 1 species